GUAUUGGACUACCGUGGCAGUGACGGGUAACGGGGAAUUAGGGUUCGAUUCCGGAGAGGGAGCCUGAGAAACGGCUACCACAUCUAAGGAGGGCAGCAGGCGCGCAAAUUACCCAAUGAAAACAGUUUCGAGGUAGUGACGAGAAAUAACAAUACAGGGCAUUUUAUGCUCUGUAAUUGGAAUGAUGGGAAUGUAAAACCCUUUCAGAGUAACAAUUGGAGGGCAAGUCUGGUGCCAGCAGCCGCGGUAAUUCCAGCUCCAAUAGUGUAUAUUAGAGUUGUUGCAGUUAAAAAGCUCGUAGUUGGAUUUCUGUCGUGGUCAUCCGGUACCGCCCGUAUGGGUGUGCACCUGGUUUGCCCUCGGCUUUCUUCCGGUAGCCUUCCGCGCUUAACUGCGUGUGUUGGUGUUCCGGAACUUUUACUUUGAGAAAAAUAGAGUGUUUCAAGCAGGCUUGUCGCCCUGAAUACUUCAGCAUGGAAUAAUAAGAUAGGACCUCGGUUCUAUUUUGUUGGUUUCUAGGACCAAGGUAAUGAUUAAUAGGGACAGUUGGGGGCAUUCGUAUUUAACUGCCAGAGGUGAAAUUCUUAGAUUUGUUAAAGACGAACUACUGCGAAAGCAUUUGCCAAGGAUGUUUUCAUUAAUCAAGAACGACAGUAGGGGGUUUGAAGACGAUUAGAUACCGUCGUAAUCUCUACCAUAAACUAUGCCGACUAGAGAUAGGGAAAUGCCUACCUUGGCUUCUCCUGCACCUCAUGAGAAAUCAAAGUCUCUGGGUUCUGGGGGGAGUAUGGUCGCAAGGCUGAAACUUAAAGGAAUUGACGGAAGGGCACCACCAGGA
rnacentral:rRNA from 1 species